GAAGGGACCCUCUGCAUUUAUUUCUCACCGCACAAAACGUGUAUUCACGCGCUCGAGUCUGCAAAUACACUUCGCUGCGCGGAUAUUACGCUGAAUGUGGCGUUGAAAUGUUUGUCUUUAGAUGCAAUAUUCAUUAGCUGUUUGUGCGCAUUAUUUUUUAACUGCCCGGCCAUACUGACUUGACCUGAACUAGUUAAAAUUUCCCAAUUGGAAAGGGCGAAGUCUGCACAGCAACAAGAAUCACGAUUGCGUUGCGCACUGCCUUAGCAUCUAGUGCGCUUCUGGUCCAAUUGCUGAUGCUUUCCGCCUGCAAAAUCUGCCACAACCGUAGUAAUACCCUGACAACCGGACCCGGGCAAACGAGAAACAUUUUUGACAACUCGACGGCGGGGAAUCUUUUUUUUUUUCUAAAUCAAUACCUUUGAGUUUGUUGGACAGGUCCUCGGAUAUUCCUGCACGAAAGUUCUCACGCGGCAAUUAAAAAUGAAGUACUGGUGCACUCAGGAGUCUUCAUCAUCAGGCAAUCUAACCGAAUAUAUUUGGUUAACCUGUUUCUUCCACAGAAUCGCUUGAUAUGCACUGAAAAAUAUCGUCUGCUCGAUGCAGGAAAAAAAAAGCUUGCAGGCUAAGCUUCACAUGGAUGCAGUGUCUCAUUCUCAGGCAAUUUGGUUCUAUAAUUUAUUCACUGUAGACUAGUAAUGCAUUUUCUCAAAAACCCAACAAAUAGACUACUUGGUUUAUUGCGCGUAAUGUAGAUGAUGUCUAAAAUGGCACUGGACAGCACUGACUGCUCUGGACUUCACAAUCGGAUACAAUGGAGCUCUUGGAGGAGGAUCUCACAUGCCCAAUAUGCUGCUGUCUUUUCGAGGACCCGAGAGUUCUGCCGUGCUCUCACAGCUUCUGCAAGAAGUGUCUCGAGGGCAUCCUAGACGGUAACCGGGGCCCUGCAUGGAGACCACCGUUCAAAUGUCCGACCUGUCGAAAGGAGACCGUGCACAACGGCAUCGCGAGCUUGCAAGUCAAUUACUCCCUACGUGGCAUCGUGGAGAAGUACAACAGGAUUCGAGUGAUGCCGAGGAUGUCCCUCUGCCGAGUUCACAGCGGACAACCGCUCAACAUCUUCUGCGCCACGGAUCUGAAGCUCAUCUGUGGUUUCUGCGCCACGACAGGUGAUCAUAAAGGACACAAGUUUUGCGCACUGGAGGAGGCGUAUGAACGCGAGAAGCUCGCGUUUGAGGAGUUGUUUCAAGUCGUGGAGAGCUGGAGGGUAGCGGAGGUGCAUUCGUGCCUGGAAUCGUUAGAGGGAGCGAAGAGGAAAUCGUUGGAGAGGGUGUCGCGGGACGCAGAUCGAGUCUCUGAGUACUUUGACAAACUUUUGCGCACGCUGGAGCACAAACGGAGCGAGAUCCUGUCGGACUUCGAGACUCUGAAGCUCGCGGUCAUGCAGACCUUUGACCCCGAGAUCAACCAGCUCCGUUCUGCGCUCGAGGAGCAGCGGCGCGCGCUCAGCAUCGCCGAAUCCUUCCGUUCGCUCUCCGACCCGCUCACUUUCCUCCAGCAGAUGCAGGACUUCAGAGAAAAGCUGCGCGUCAUUCGGGGAACGCCGCUGCCGUCGCGGACUGACGUGGAUGUGGGUUUGCUUGGCCUGCAGAGCUUCGAUGUGAAGGAAUGGGACCGGGUGCGUCUUGGAGAGGUGGACAAGCUGUGCGCCCCCUACGAGAGCAGCACCUACCUGGCUUCGCUGCCCCCUGCUGCCGCUCCGCGCUUCUCCCGCGUGCUGUGGAGAGUUGUUCUGGUUGUAUGUGCGUGCCUCCCCGCGCUGAACUUUCUCCCGUCGGACUGUCUCGCUCUGAGCUUCCAGGAUAAGGUGGUCGCACUCAGUGGCUUUUCUCUGCCCGGUCCUGGAGAGAUUGUGCACUGGUUUGGGUUCUGCUGGAAAGAAGCGGAAGCGAUCUGCACGCUACUAACCGAGCUGUGUCAGAACUGUAUCUUGGACCUGAUAAACACAACAUCAGAUUUCAUCAGCUGAUUUUAUAACUUCAUUCAUUAGGUCCCAGGAAUUGAUGCUGCAGCACAUCACGGCCUGCAUCUCUGUAUCACCACAAACCAUUCUGUGCUGCUACACCAUCACCUAGAGAGGGUCCCUCUCUCUCAAUCACGCACUCACACCCUCGGCAACAUGACCAAGCACUGCCAGAAUCACAGAGCGAGUGACUCCUCUCCUCCCUCUCUCUCUUUCUCUCAGCAGGGCUUGAGGCAUUCCAGGGCUUCAUCUGAAACACAGAGGAGAGGACGCUUGCGUGAGAACAUACACACGGCAGCUGGACGUGAUGCUGAUGGAUUUUCUGCAGACAAACCUCUCAGGAACUUUCAAGCAUUAUAGCAAAACCUGUCCUCUGGCAACUCCAUCAAAAAUAAUGAUAUUAAAGAAAACAAGAAACUAGCACUAUUGCCUUCUAGCCCAGUCUGGAUUUAACCUCCAAGAUGAUGAUUCAGCACUGACAACAUCCAGCCUCGUAGUCAUCUUCAACAGCGAGAACAGACCUGCCACCAGCUUCCCAAAGUGCUGUCCCACAGCUGAAGACAUCUCUUAUGCCCACACUAUGCUAAAUAAGAAAUCCUUUUUUUCUGAAUCAAUCAUUGUGCUCUGUGCUUCAUGUACAGUUAUGAUAAAAAAUGUUAAUGUUAAUGUUUACCAAGUCAGAGUUGAUAUGAGACAUCAUUAACAUAUAAGGAUGUAAUAAUAAAAAAAAAAACUAAAGUACUGAUAGUAAUAUUAGAUAUAUUUAUACAACUGACAAUAGAACAACAAACACAGAAUCUCAAUAACAAAGUAUUUUCUUUGACACACCAGCUUCCUAAAGAUUUGGAAUUUAGUCUCAUCUUAAAAUAAAAUUUAAUUGUGUUGAAUUAUUUUGGAGAACUGUAGCAUUAAACAAUAAUUCAAAUACA